CGAGUCACCGCGCCGCUGAGCCUCCCGCUAGGCCGCCACGCCGUUGGUCCGCCUGCGCCACCGCGCCACGCCGAGCUACCCGCCGGGCCGCCGCGGAGGAGAACAGAGGAGGAGGAGGAGGAGCCAAAAAGUAAACAUGCCCGACAAGUACCCAUGCCAAGCCACCACGACGCUGCAAGGGGCUUCUUGCCCCUCAAUAGCCCGAUUCCCCUCCCCUUCGGAUGCAAGCACGCGAAGCCAGGCCGGCUGGCGGCAUCUGCUUUUCCCCUUCUCCGCGGCUGCUAUCGCGCAGAGCUCGGCACUAUCGGCGACCAGCGCUAGACGAGACGCGGCAGCCCAGCAGGAGGGCGCAGCGGCGUGACGCAAGGAGCAGAGAACCAACUGUCGUGCCGCAUCUCGAUCUCCAAUUCUCCACCACGCUCCCUGCCACCACGCUAUGACGCUCGCCUAUCCUGCCCCUUGCCCGGUCUGCAGUCGUAGCCAUUACGAACGAAACCAGUUAAGCGGCGCAGCGCGAAAGCGAGUGACGAUGGUCGAGAGAAUGGACUGCAGACUGGACCGGACCGUAGCGACUUUCUUUCAGCCCAGAAAGGCCCAACUAGGUCACUCGAUCUAAAUUGUUUCUUUUUUGCUAUUUCAUUUUUCUUGUCUGAUUUUUGUAUGCCUGUACGGGUAAUGAAUAAUACUGGUGCACUGCGGUUACCACUUUCUUAA